GUGUCAGCCGCCGCGGUAAUACGUAGAAGGCGAACGUUAUCCGGAUUUACUGGGCGUAAAGAGGGUGUAGACGGUUCUUUAAGUCAGUUGUGAAAUCUCCCGACUCAAUCGAGAGACUGCAAUUGAUACUGGGGAGCUUGAGGGCAUCAGAAGAAAGCGGAAUUCACGGUGUAGCGGUGAAAUGCGUAGAUAUCGUGAGGAACACCAGUGGCGAAGGCGGCUUUCUAGGAUGCUCCUGACGUUGAGGCCCGAAAGUGUGGGGAGCGAAACGGAUUAGAUACCCUUGUAGUCC
rnacentral:rRNA from 1 species